GUUGAAUUGAAAGAAACACAGUCUAGCCACCAAAAAACAUGGAUCUCUCCUCAUGGCAGCUGUAGGAAACACAGGAACUCCGUGACCUGGAAAAUGUGGGACAACUGCCACAAGGUUGAGUACCAGUAGAAACCUCAUAUUUACCUGGAAGAUUACUUUUAGGAAGCUUGAAGAAUUCUCUCUUCCAACUUGGUUGGAUUUCCUGUAAGAUUUUAAAUGAAGAAAGUCUUCUACUGCUGUAUAAAGAAAAAAAAAAGAAGAAGAAAGGUA
rnacentral:lncRNA from 1 species